UACGGGGGGGAGCAAGCGUUGUUCGGAUUUACUGGGCGUAAAGCGUGCGCAGGCGGUUGUGCAAGACAGAUGUGAAAUCCCCCGGGCUUAACCUGGGAACUGCAUUUGUGACUGCACGGCUAGAGUGUGUCAGAGGGGGGUAGAAUUCCACGUGUAGCAGUGAAAUGCGUAGAUAUGUGGAGGAAUACCGAUGGCGAAGGCAGCCCCCUGGGAUAACACUGACGCUCAUACACAAAGCGUGGGGAGCAAACAGG
rnacentral:rRNA from 1 species